rnacentral:lncRNA from 1 species
GGAGAAAAUUCCCUAUGUCUUCACUGCGCCGCCACGAAAUUGUUAUUUCGCUGGUCGAAUUAAAGAAAUCCAGGAGCUUAAACGUAUUCUGAAAGUUGAGGAAACUUCGAACGAAAAAAAAGUUCGUGUUGCAGCAGUAUGUGGUUUGGGUGGAAUUGGUAAAACAAGCUUAGUUUCCGAGUAUGCUCAUCAGAUGAAGGAUUUCUACAAGGGAGGUGUUUAUUGGUUUUCAGCUGAAGAUGAUACGUUUCUUGAGAAAACAGUAAACGACGUCGCAUUAAAGAUUGAUGCAUUACUUGGUUCAUUUGAUUUAACUUUGUCA